GUUGAUAACUGAAAUAGUAGUAGCUUGCAAUUUUCAAAUUAGCACCAAAUGAAUUUAGUUACCAUAAAAUAAAGGCGGUGGCAGAACAAAUGAAUUUCGCAGCUACCUUAUGCACAUUUUUAAUCAGAAAAUUAUAAAUAGCUUCUCCCGUCAUCGAAAACCCCAAUGCACUUUCAAAAACCUUCUCAUUCCAUCGCUUUCGCUCUCUUCUUGCUCUUCAUUUUAGGGCACAAGAACUCGCUCUUUUGACUCAGUGAAUUAUCAGGUUGUUGGUUAUUUGCAAGGAAACACUCUUCAGAUUGUUCUGUUGACUGAAUACAAAGGAAGAUUGUUUUAUGCAAGGACCAUUUGAAUUCUUGCAAUGUCGGGGUUUUAUAACUCUUCUCCAAACGAUUCUUCUUCAAAUCUUCCAGAUGGUGCUCCACGGCCUUUUGCCGCAUCUUUCCCU